rnacentral:rRNA from 1 species
GAUCUCAGCUCAAACAAGGUUACCCGCUGAAUUUAAGCAUAUCAAUAAGCGGAGGA